AUUGAACGCUGGCGGAAUGCUUUACACAUGCAAGUCGAACGGCAGCACGGGUGCUUGCACCUGGUGGCGAGUGGCGAACGGGUGAGUAACAUAUCGGAACGUAUCCAAUAAUGGGGGAUAACUAAUCGAAAGGUUGGCUAAUACCGCAUACGCCCUACGGGGGAAAGCUAGGGACCUUCGGGCCUGGCGUUAAUGGAGCGGCCGAUAUCUGAUUAGCUAGUUGGUGGGGUAAGAGCCCACCAAGGCGACGAUCAGUAGCUGGUCUGAGAGGACGACCAGCCACACUGGAACUGAGACACGGUCCAGACGCCUACGGGAGGCAGCAGUGGGGAAUUUUGGACAAUGGGCGCAAGCCUGAUCCAGCCAUUCCGCGUGAGUGAAGAAGGCCUUCGGGUUGUAAAGCUCUUUCGCAAGGGAAGAAAACUUAUCCUCUAACAUAGGGUGAGGUUGACGGUACCUUGAUAAGAAGCACCGGCUAACUACGUGCCAGCCGCCGCAGUAAGAC
rnacentral:rRNA from 1 species